rnacentral:rRNA from 1 species
AACAUGUCUUAAAGAAUUUAAUUUUAAGUCAAAUYUGCUCCAUGAAUAAAAUUUAAAUAGCUGCAGAAUUUUAACUGUACAAAGGUAGCAUAAUCAAUAGUUUUUUAAUUAAAAGCUUGUAUGAAGGAUUUAAUAAGGUAAAUAUUGUAUCAAAUUUAAUAAAAUUAGAAUUUUUUUUUUAGUAAAAAUACUAAAAAAAAUUUAAAAGACGAGAAGACCCUAUAGAUUUUUAUAUAUAUAUUUUAAUUAUAUUUAAAAUUAAUAAUAAAUUUUAAAAAUAAAAUAUUUGGUUGGGGAAAUUAUUAAAUUAAUAAAAUUUUAAUUUUAAAUUACAAUAAUUAUUGAAUAAUUGAUCUUAUUAAUAUAAAUUAAUAGAAUAAAUUACCUUAGGGAUAACAGCGUAAUUUUUUUGGAGAGAUCUUAUUAAUAAAAAAGUUUGCGACCUCGAUGUUGAAUUAAGAUAAAAUUUUAAUGUAGAAGUUAAAAAUUUUUGGUCUGUUCGACCAUUAAAAUCUUACGUGAUC